UACGAAGGGGACUAGCGUUGUUCGGAAUUACUGGGCGUAAAGCGCGCGUAGGCGGAUCGCUAAGUCAGGGGUGAAAUCCCAGGGCUCAACCCUGGAACUGCCUUUGAUACUGACGAUCUGGAGAUCGGGAGAGGUGAGUGGAAUUCCGAGUGUAGAGGUGAAAUUCGUAGAUAUUCGGAAGAACACCAGUGGCGAAGGCGGCUCACUGGCCCGGUACUGACGCUGAGGUGCGAAAGCGUGGGGAGCAAACGGG
rnacentral:rRNA from 1 species